GGACCACUCCUGCGGGAGUUAAGGCCAUACGGACAGCCGGGUCCACUGCCGA
rnacentral:sRNA from 1 species